rnacentral:rRNA from 1 species
UCGAGCGAAUGGAUUAAGAGCUUGCUCUUAUGAAGUUAGCGGCGGACGGGUGAGUAACACGUGGGUAACCUGCCCAUAAGACUGGGAUAACUCCGGGAAACCGGGGCUAAUACCGGAUAACAUUUUGAACCGCAUGGUUCGAAAUUGAAAGGCGGCUUCGGCUGUCACUUAUGGAUGGACCCGCGUCGCAUUAGCUAGUUGGUGAGGUAACGGCUCACCAAGGCAACGAUGCGUAGCCGACCUGAGAGGGUGAUCGGCCACACUGGGACUGAGACACGGCCCAGACUCCUACGGGAGGCAGCAGUAGGGAAUCUUCCGCAAUGGACGAAAGUCUGACGGAGCAACGCCGCGUGAGUGAUGAAGGCUUUCGGGUCGUAAAACUCUGUUGUUAGGGAAGAACAAGUGCUAGUUGAAUAAGCUGGCCACCUUGACGGUACCUAACCAGAAAGCCACGGCUAACUACGUGCCAGCAGGCCGCGGUAAUACGUAGGUGGCAAGCGUUAUCCGGAAUUAUUGGGCGUAAAGGCGCGCGCAGGGUGGUUUCUUUAAGUCUGGAUGUGAAAGCCCACGGCUCAACCCGUGGAGGGUCAUUGGAAACUGGAGACUUGAGUGCAGAAGAGGAAAGUGGAUUCCAUGUGUAGCGGUGAAUGCGUAGAGAUAUGCAGG